CAACCAUCGGUCUCACCCCUCAGUUUCUGCCAGAGAAAAAGGAAAAGUCACCGAGAGGCCUGACCCUGACGGGUGGGGGAGAUGCGCGUGCGGAGUAGCGGGAAGCGACUGAGGAGCGGGGAAUGGGCAGCAUUUGAAUGGAUGCGGGUGCCGCUGGCACCCGGGAAGACGCUGGGGGCCGGCGCUGUAGAGCCGGGCAUGGGCUGGGAUGUGUUUGGAUUCCAAUCCGGGCCUGACACCAGUUCAGUGACCUCGGGAAGUUCCCCAACCCUCCGGGCCUGUUUCCUCCCUCUGAAGUGGCGACAGUAGUAGAACCGACCUCGUAGGCUCAUCGGGAGGUCCUGAUGGGAGAACCCAUGCAACUUGCCACCAUAGAGCCAGGCCCGCGGCGGUUGGCGCCUGGUGGGUAUUAAAGACGAGUCGGGAAAGAAGAGCAGGUUGAUAGACUGGAUGCUGCUAUGGUAAUCUGCCUCAGGAAAAUGCCGGACUGUUGUUUGCAAGCUGGUUAAGUGAGCAAAUCUUGGGAAGAUUUCAAGUCAUGGAAUAAGGCCAUACCCUGUGGGUAGGGUAUAAAGGUUUCCCUCUAUAUAGUAGGUGUUCUUAUUAUCAGUCAUUCAAAGAAAAAGAGAAUCCUCACCAGAAAAUCUUGGAACAUAGAACAGAUGGAAGGUGGCACUUCUGGAUAUGCCUUUUUACAUCUGAACUUGGAAGAGUUAAGAAUUGUUGAAGGCCCUUCUCACUGAUCAGGGGAAAUAGCUUCUGUCACAGAGCUGCCUACUCCAGGAGAACCAAAAAUGAAAGUAAACACUCAUAUUUUGUAAGUCUGUUCCUCAACUUCCAUCAAUCAAGUUUAAUCUAAAUCAAGGAUUCAAACUGAGAAGCAUUUAAGGACCAAGAAAAAGUUAAUUAGCCCAGUAUAAGUCAACAAGAAAUGGUAAGCAGUAUGGAGGAAAAGAAGUGCCACACCCUUCUAGGCAUCCAAAUUCAAGCAUUUACAAUGUACUUCAUGAAGCAGUACCCUAUACAGCACUAAUAACAGCCCAAACUUGCUUGACAUUUCUACAUAACACAUUAUUCAUUAAUUCAGAAGAAAAAUAGAAUUCUUAAAACUCCUAACUUUAUUUUUAAUUAAUAUAAAGGAGGAACCAACAACAACAAAAAAUUGUGUGGGAGUUAGAAAAUAAGGACUAGGCGCCUGGGCGCGGUGGCUCACGCCUGUAAUCCCAGCACUUUGGGAGGCCGCGGUGGGCAGAACACGAGGUCAGGAGAUUGAGGCCAUCCUGGCUAACACGGUGAAACCCCGUCUUUACUAAAAAAUAGAAAAAAUUAGCUGGGCGUGGUGGCGGGCGCCUGUAGUCGCAGCUACUCUGGAGGCUUGAGGCAGGAGAAUGGCGUGAACCUGGGAGGCGGAGCUUGCAGUGAGCCAAGAUCGCGCCACUACACUCCAGCCUGGGCGACAGAGCGACACUCUGUCUCAAAAAAAAAAAAAGGAAAAAAAGGACUAGGCAGGCAGAUGUGGGGUGGGGCAAACAAAACAUGGCAGCCAGCAGACCAGUCUAUUUCAGCAUAGUCUCUGCUGCAGUAUUUAAGAAAUAGGUAGAGCCAGCCAGGCGCGGUGGUUCACGCCUGUAAUCCCAGUACUUUGGGAGGCCGAGGCGGGCGGAUCACCUGAGGUCUGGAGUUCGAGACCAGCCUGACCAACAUGGAGAAACCGCGUCUCUACUAAAAAUACAAAAUUAGCCAGGCGUGGUGGCACAGGCCUGUAAUCCCAGCUACUUGGGAGGCUGAGGCAGGAGAAUCACUUGAACCCAGAAGGCGGAGGUUGUGGUGAGCCCAGAUCGUGCCAUUGCACUCCAUCCUGGGCAACAAGAGUGAAAUUCCCCAUCUCAAAAACAAA
rnacentral:lncRNA from 1 species